GAAGAGAUGGCUGAGAGGUUUAAAGCGGCAAUUUGCUAUAACCAACAUUUCUUAAAACUUUUAAGAAGAAAAAUAUAUUAAUAAAAAAAUAUCAUAGGUUCGAAUCCUAUUCUCUUCUC
rnacentral:tRNA from 1 species